UGUGUCGGGCGUCACGUCGGUCUCCUGCUCGUCCUCGUCCUCGUGCGAUCGCGAAACCGCCCGGCGAGUGCCCCGCUAGUGUCCGGUGAUUUUCAUAUGUACUCUGUGGAUUAUCAGCAGUCAUGUCGGGCUGGCGUUAAUCGAAGUUAGCGAAUGUUGUGGCCGCUCUUGGGAUUGGUAGCGCUAGCGAAUGUUGUGCUGUCAUUCCUGGAAAAUGUAGCCGUCGACGCUGUUGUUGUGCGAAUUGAAUAAUGCUUAAAUUAAAAGUGCAGUGCGCAGGAAGACCGAAGCCGACCACGUAGAAGAACCAAAUAAGCAACGCCCAGCCUCGGCAGCAUGAAGAAUUCGUGUUGGCGGAGCACACCACCGCCACCGCCGCCGCCGCCCGGGUUACUCAUGCAUGCCAGUUGUAAAUUGAAGAGUCAAACAUAAUGCACGUUUUUAGCGGUUUAUUCAUCACGCACGGUGUUCCUCCCCCAACACAGUCGUUGAUGGGACAGAAAUAACGGAUGACUGCAACCAGAUUUAAUCUUCUCGCACAAGAAUAG